UACAUGAGUCAUAUCAUUACU
ensembl:piRNA 21ur-2080 ncRNA